rnacentral:rRNA from 1 species
UACGUAGGGGGCAAGCGUUGUCCGGAAUUAUUGGGCGUAAAGAGCGCGUAGGCGGUCCGAUAAGUCGGCUGUGAAAGUCAGGGGCUCAACCCUUGAAAGCCGGCCGAUACUGUCGGACUAGAGUCCGGAAGAGGCAAGUGGAAUUCCCGGUGUAGCGGUGAAAUGCGCAGAUAUCGGGAAGAACACCCGUGGCGAAGGCGGUUCUCUGGGCCUUACCUGACGCUGAGGAGCGAAAGCGUGGGGAGCGAACAGG